rnacentral:sRNA from 1 species
AACAAAACCAUUUCAAUAUGAGGUACCUCACUGCAUCAAGGCUUAUACUUUUUUUCCAAGACGAUGCUUCACAAAAUGGCAUUUUAAAUUUUGUAUCAGUUGUCUUCAGAGCCCAGUGGUUAAAGUAUCGGCCUUGUAAACCACAGAUCAGAGGUUGAAUCCACCUUGGGCUUUUGUUCAUAUUUUUGUUUACUGAAUCAUGUUUUUAAAAUCAUAAUUUUUUUUUAUUGAAAAUGCAUAAUUUUUUGCCUUUUAGACAUAUAACGAUCUAUCAUAUUCAAUCUAUUUUCCGAUGAUUUGAAAAAAUUAUUUUAAUUUAAGGUGACAAUGUGUAGUGAGCCACUUUAAUAAGAUUUGCCAAAUACCAGUAAGUUCGUUUGGUUUGGGUUUUUUUUUUGGUUUUUUUUUUUUAAAUGAAUAUAUGUAGUGAAGUUUUUUUUAAUGAAUAUCUAUAGUAACUGUAUUUACCGGUAUACACAAUCGUGACACCUUGAAUUCAUAUUAUUAACCUUUAUUUACAUUGUAUACUGCAAGAAAAUAUCAAGUGUUUGUAUUUACAUGUACAUAUCUUCAAUAAAUAAACUCUACAUUUUC